AAAACGACUCUCGGCAACGGAUAUCUCGGCUCUCGCAUCGAUGAAGAACGUAGCGAAAUGCGAUACUUGGUGUGAAUUGCAGAAUCCCGUGAACCAUCGAGUCUUUGAACGCAAGUUGCGCCCCAAGCCAUUAGGCCGAGGGCACGCCUGCCUGGGUGUCAC
rnacentral:rRNA from 1 species